UACGUAGGGUGCGAGCGUUGUCCGGAAUUAUUGGGCGUAAAGAGCUUGUAGGCGGUUUGUCGCGUCUGCUGUGAAAAUCCGGGGCUCAACCCCGGACUUGCAGUGGGUACGGGCAGACUAGAGUGUGGUAGGGGAGAAUGGAAUUCCUGGUGUAGCGGUGGAAUGCGCAGAUAUCAGGAGGAACACCGAUGGCGAAGGCAGUUCUCUGGGCCGUAACUGACGCUGAGGAGCGAAAGCGUGGGGAGCGAACAGG
rnacentral:rRNA from 1 species